rnacentral:lncRNA from 1 species
AACAAAAGUUACGGUGCGAUGCCGCUUGGCGAAGACGGCGUGGUGAUCGGCGCUGCGACAGCGUCGUCCACGUCAAGAGGUGGCCGCUGCGUGCGGCAAGAGUACAUGGUGAUGGACGCGGGCGCUGCGAUGACGUCGGUCCAGGCAAGGUGUGCAGCGCCGCGAUUGUGUCGUCAAGUGGCAGCGGGUGAACCGCGUGAAGAUUGGAGAAUCAAGAUUAGGAGGGAAAAUGUUAGGUUUAAUCUUGAUUCAUGUAUCUGCAUAUUUAGUUUGCUUUUGUUAUGUAUGUAGGAUAGGUUAGAGAGUAGCUAGUCCGGUGAAGCUUCAGCAGAGACGAGUGGAGAAGGCGAGAUGCCAAGGGGUCGUGUGAUACGACGACGAUGGCGAGAUGCCGAUGGUGGCGUGAGGCUGCAGUGUUGCGCGAGGCAGCGUGGCCGUGUGAUGCGGCAAGUGCGACCAAGGCUGGAGCGUGGGACUCUAUGAUGCAUGUUGAGUUGGCCUAGUCCUUUGGCCGUUAAGAGGAGGUUGAGCAAGGGCCGGGCAUAGGCGUGCAUGUAGUAGUGAUUAGGCUGCAUGCAUGAGUUUGUUAGCCGGUGCUGCAGGUCCUGCGGAUAUUCAACGAAAGUUGGGGUCGUCCGUGCAGUACUGGCCGUAGGAAAAGGUCAUGUGUUAGUGGCCUGGGUUAGUGCGUGAGUGCAUGGGUUAGUGGGUUAGUGUAGCCGGGUGUGGCGGCUGGCUUGGCAGGUCGGUCAAUCAUUUGUGUAUAUAAGCACUGCUUUGAGUUAAUGAAAGAGUGGAAGAGGCCGUGAGGGCUGGGCAAAAACAAUGUAGCACAUUUGUGUCACCAAGGAGGAAAGCUCUCGGCAAAGCUGGUGCUGGCUUCUUCCUUGGCGUGUGUGUGUGUGUUCUUGUGUGAGACAAAAGAGAGAUAGAAAGUUGUGCGAGGCAACUCGAGGUAGAAGAAGAAGUGGCGCUGCGAGAGGGCGGCGCCAGCAAUUGGCAUCAGAGCCUUGUUGAUCCGUGGCGGCGACGACGGUGCCGGCGGCUAUGGUGGCCGGCGUGGCGCUGGGCGCGAGGUGAUGGCUGGCAGCGGCGCGAUGCCGCGGGCGGCCGGUUGCGGUGCGAUGCCGCGAGAUGAAGGUGGUGCGAUGAUCGGCGUCGCGAGGACGUCAUCCACGACAAGAUGGUCCGUGGUGACCGGCGCUGCAACGGCGUCGGUUGUGGCGCGACGGACUUCAUGCGAGAUGGAGGCCGACGACGCAAGAAGGAGGAUGGUGGCCAUGCGGUGCCGCUAUGUGAAGAUGGCGGUGCGAAGCUGCCACAACAAGAGUCGGCGUGAUGCCGACGACGAUGGUGUGAUGCCAUCGUCAUCAUGGAAAGUUGGUGUGAAGCCAACAAAAGUUACGGUGCGAUGCCGCUUGGCGAAGACGGCGUGGUGAUCGGCGCUGCGACAGCGUCGUCCACGUCAAGAGGUGGCCGCUGCGUGCGGCAAGAGUACAUGGUGAUGGACGCGGGCGCUGCGAUGACGUCGGUCCAGGCAAGGUGUGCAGCGCCGCGAUUGUGUCGUCAAGUGGCAGCGGGUGAACCGCGUGAAGAUUGGAGAAUCAAGAUUAGGAGGGAAAAUGUUAGGUUUAAUCUUGAUUCAUGUAUCUGCAUAUUUAGUUUGCUUUUGUUAUGUAUGUAGGAUAGGUUAGAGAGUAGCUAGUCCGGUGAAGCUUCAGCAGAGACGAGUGGAGAAGGCGAGAUGCCAAGGGGUCGUGUGAUACGACGACGAUGGCGAGAUGCCGAUGGUGGCGUGAGGCUGCAGUGUUGCGCGAGGCAGCGUGGCCGUGUGAUGCGGCAAGUGCGACCAAGGCUGGAGCGUGGGACUCUAUGAUGCAUGUUGAGUUGGCCUAGUCCUUUGGCCGUUAAGAGGAGG